rnacentral:rRNA from 1 species
GAACGGGUGAGUAACACGUGGGCAACCUGCCCAAAAGAGGGGGAUAACACUUGGAAACAGGUGCUAAUACCGCAUAACCAUAGUUACCGCAUGGUAACUAUGUAAAAGGUGGCUAUGCUACCGCUUUUGGAUGGGCCCGCGGCGCAUUAGCUAGUUGGUGGGGUAAAGGCUUACCAAGGCAAUGAUGCGUAGCCGAACUGAGAGGUUGAUCGGCCACAUUGGGACUGAGACACGGCCCAAACUCCUACGGGAGGCAGCAGUAGGGAAUCUUCCACAAUGGGCGAAAGCCUGAUGGAGCAACGCCGCGUGGGUGAAGAAGGUCUUCGGAUCGUAAAACCCUGUUGUUAGAGAAGAAAGUGCGUGAGAGUAACUGUUCACGUUUCGACGGUAUCUAACCAGAAAGCCGCGGCUAACUACGUGCCAGCAGCCGCGGUAAUACGUAGGUGGCAAGCGUUAUCCGGAUUUAUUGGGCGUAAAGGGAACGCAGGCGGUCUUUUAAGUCUGAUGUGAAAGCCUUCGGCUUAACCGAAGUAGUGCAUUGGAAACUGGGAGACUUGAGUGCAGAAGAGGAGAGUGGAACUCCAUGUGUAGCGGUGAAAUGCGUAGAUAUAUGGAAGAACACCAGUGGCGAAAGCGGCUCUCUGGUCUGUAACUGACGCUGAGGUUCGAAAGCGUGGGUAGCAAACAGGAUUAGAUACCCUGGUAGUCCACGCCGUAAACGAUGAAUGCUAAGUGUUGG